AUUGAACGCUGGCGGCAGGCCUAACACAUGCAAGUCGAGCGGAUGAAGGGAGCUUGCUCCUGGAUUCAGCGGCGGACGGGUGAGUAAUGCCUAGGAAUCUGCCUGGUAGUGGGGGAUAACGUCCGGAAACGGGCGCUAAUACCGCAUACGUCCUGAGGGAGAAAGUGGGGGAUCUUCGGACCUCACGCUAUCAGAUGAGCCUAGGUCGGAUUAGCUAGUUGGUGGGGUAAAGGCCUACCAAGGCGACGAUCCGUAACUGGUCUGAGAGGAUGAUCAGUCACACUGGAACUGAGACACGGUCCAGACUCCUACGGGAGGCAGCAGUGGGGAAUAUUGGACAAUGGGCGAAAGCCUGAUCCAGCCAUGCCGCUUGUGUGAAGAAGGUCUUCGGAUUGUAAAGCACUUUAAGUUGGGAGGAAGGGCAGUAAGUUAAUACCUUGCUGUUUUGACGUUACCAACAGAAUAAGCACCGGCCAACUUCGUG
rnacentral:rRNA from 1 species